AGAUACCCCGGUAGUCCUNGCCCUAAACGAUGAAUGCUUGGUGGGGGGGUAUCGAUCCCUGCCGUGCCGAAGCUAACGCAUUAAGCAUUCCNCCUGGGAGUACGGUCGCAAGGCUGAAACUCAAAGGAANUGACGGGGGCCCGCACAAGCGGUGGAGCAUGUGGUUCAAUUCGACGCAACGCGAAGAACCUUACCCAGGCUUGAACAGCGAGUGACCACUCCCGAAAGGGAGCUUCCGCAAGGACACUCGUAGAGGUGCUGCAUGGCUGUCGUCAGCUCGUGUCGUGAGAUGUUGGGUUAAGUCCCGCAACGAGCGCAACCCUUGUUUGCUGUUGCCAUCAGGUUAUGCUGGGCACUCUGCAGAGACUGCCGGUGAUAAACCGGAGGAAGGUGGGGAUGACGUCAAGUCAGCAUGGCCUUUAUGUCUGGGGCUACACACGUGCUACAAUGGCAGAUACAAACCGUCGCGAGACCGCAAGGUGGAGCUAAUCGGAGAAAGUCUGUCUCAGUUCGGAUAGCAGGCUGCAACUCGCCUGCUUGAAGUUGGAAUCGCUAGUAAUCGCGGAUCAGCACGCCGCGGUGAAUACGUUCCCGGGCCUUGUACACACCGCCCGUCACAUCAUGAAAGCCGGUUGUACUAGAAGCCGCCAUACUAACCCGCAAGGGAGGGAGGCNUCUAAGGUAUGAUCGGUGAUUGGGGUGAAGUCGUACUCNANNNAANCAACCAGAAAANCAGCACNCANGCUCNCAUCNGUANANGAUNAAAACGACGNCCAANGAUUCUG
rnacentral:rRNA from 1 species